rnacentral:rRNA from 1 species
GACGAACGCUGGCGGCGUGCCUAAUACAUGCAAGUUGAGCGCUGAAGGUUGGUACUUGUACCAACUGGAUGAGCAGCGAACGGGUGAGUAACGCGUGGGGAAUCUGCCUUUGAGCGGGGGACAACAUUUGGAAACGAAUGCUAAUACCGCAUAAAAACUUUAAACACAAGUUUUAAGUUUGAAAGAUGCAAUUGCAUCACUCAAAGAUGAUCCCGCGUUGUAUUAGCUAGUUGGUGAGGUAAAGGCUCACCAAGGCGAGGAUACAUAGCCGACCGGAGAGGGUGAUCGGCGACAUUGGGACGGAGACACGGCCCAAACGCCUACGGGAGGCAGCAGUAGGGAAUCUUCGGCAAUGGACGAAAGUCUGACCGAGCAACGCCGCGUGAGUGAAGAAGGUUUUCGGAUCGUAAAACUCUGUUGGUAGAGAAGAACGUUGGUGAGAGUGGAAAGCGCAUCAAGUGACGGUAACUACCCAGAAAGGGACGGCUAACUACGUG